rnacentral:rRNA from 1 species
GGUUGCCGUGAGGCUUACCAUGCAAGUCGAGGGGUAACGAUGGUGCUUGCACCAGGCGACGACCGGCGCACGGGUGAGUAACGCGUAUGCAACCUACCCAUAACUUGGGGAUAGCCCGGAGAAAUUCGGAUUAAUACCCAAUAAUAUUUACCUAAGGCAUCUUAGGAAUCUUAAAAUUCAAGUGGUUAUGGAUGGGCAUGCGUAGCAUUAGAUUGUUGGUGAGGUAACGGCUCACCAAGUUGUCAAUGAUGCUUAGGGGGUCUUAAAGGAUGGUCCCCCACACUGGUACUGAGACACGGACCAGACUCCUACGGGAGGCAGCAGUGAGGAAUAUUGGUCAAUGGAGGAAACUCUGAACCAGCCAUGCCGCGUGCAGGAUGACAGCCCUAUGGGUUGUAAACUGCUUUUAUACAGGAAGAAACCUGAUUACGUGUAAUCAGCUGACGGUACUGUAAGAAUAAGGAUCGGCUAACUCCGUGCCAGCAGCCGCGGUAAUACGGAGGAUCCAAGCGUUAUCCGGAUUUAUUAGGUUUAAAGGGUGCGCAGGCGGAAGAAUUAGUCAGUGGUGAAAUCCUACAGCUUAACUGUAGAACUGCCAUUGAUACUGUUUUUCUUGAGUAUAGUUGAAGUAGGCGGAAUGUGUAGUGUAGCGGUGAAAUGCAUAGAUAUUACACAGAACACCAAUUGCGAAGGCAGCUUACUAAACUAUUACUGACGCUCAUGCACGAAAGCGUGGGGAGCGAACAGGAUUAGAUACCCUGGUAGUCCACGCCGUAAACGAUGAACACUCGUUGUCUGCGAUACAAUGUAGGCGACUGAGCGAAAGCAUUAAGUGUUCCACCUGGGGGAGUACGUUCGCAAGAAUGAAACUCAAAGGAAUUGACGGGGGGCCCGCACAAG